rnacentral:lncRNA from 1 species
GGCGCGGGGGCGGGGGCGGGGGCGGGGCCUCCUUAAAGGUACAGGCACAGAGCCCCCGGCCCUAGGCUGGCGUGGGAUUCCGUCUUGCAAACCUCCCUCCUCCCCUCCCGUCCUGUGCGUGCAGCACCUGUUCCCGCGCUGCCGCCCACGUAAGGCCUCGCGGAGACAAAAGCCUGUCUGCUAUUUUGAACCUAAGUAAACUUUCAAAGGUCUCAAAAUAACUGAGCUGUGACAUCAUCAUAAAAGACUGACCUGAACCACACCAAGUCCGUUUCCUGGGACAGAGCCUGCGGAGGUAAUGUCCCAUCUGUCUGUCCCAUCUGAGUCC